rnacentral:rRNA from 1 species
GGGAAGUAUGGUUGCAAAGUUGAAACUUAAAGGAAUUGACGGAAGGGCACCACAAGAAGUGGAGCUUGCGGCUUAAUUUGACUCAACACGGGAAAAUUUACCAGGUCCAAACUUAUCGAGGUAAGACAGAUUGAUAGCUCUUUCUCAAAUUUAAGGGUAGUGGUGCAUGGCCGUUCUUAGUUCGUGGAAUGAUUUGUCUGGUUAAUCCGAUAACGAACGUGACUCAAACAUGCUACUAGAACGCUGUCAGCAGUGCGCCUCCGGGCGCACCUGACGUUACAGCCGGGCGGCGCCUUCACGGGCGUCGUCGGCUACGUUUGCCCUGCUUAGCGGGACAAACUUGUGUUUAGCAAGCUUGAAAAAUGAGGCGAUAACAGGUCCGUGAUGCCCUUAGAUGUUCUGGGCUGCACGCGUGCUACAAUGUGGGUCGCAGCGUGUUCUCGCCAAUAGGCCGCCCCCAUUCCGAGAGGAACGGGAAAUCACUAAAAUGCCCAUCUAGUCGGGAUUGGGGACUGCAACGGUCCCCAUGAACCUGGAAUUUCUAGUAAGCACUAAAGUCAUUAGCUAGUGCUGAUUACGUCCCUGCCCUUUGUACA